rnacentral:misc_RNA from 1 species
UUUCCGUAGGUGAACCUGCGGAAGGAUCAUUACUGAGUGAGGGCCCUCUGGGUCCAACCUCCCACCCGUGUUUAUUACACCUUGUUGCUUCGGUGAGCCCGCCUCACGGCCGCCGGGGGGCAUCUGCCCCCGGGCCCGCGCCCACCGAAGACACCUAGAACUCUGUAUGAAGAUUGCAGUCUGAGCAAAAACUAAAUAAGUUAAAACUUUCAACAACGGAUCUCUUGGUUCCG